rnacentral:tRNA from 1 species
GAAGGUAUAGCUCAAGUGGUAGAGUGCAUGCUUAGCAUGCACAAGGUCCUGAGUUCAAUCCCCAGUACCUCUU